GAUGAACGCUGGCGGCGUGCCUAAUACAUGCAAGUCGAGCGAACAGAUGAGGAGCUUGCUCCUCUGACGUUAGCGGCGGACGGGUGAGUAACACGUGGAUAACCUACCUAUAAGACUGGGAUAACUUCGGGAAACCGGAGCUAAUACCGGAUAACAUAUUGAACCGCAUGGUUCUAUAGUGAAAGACGGUUUUGCUAUCACUUAUAGAUGGAUCCGCGCCGUAUUAGCUAGUUGGUAAGGUAACGGCUUACCAAGGCAACGAUGCGUAGCCGACCUGAGAGGGUGAUCGGCCACACUGGAACUGAGACACGGUCCAGACUCCUACGGGAGGCAGCAGUAGGGAAUCUUCCGCAAUGGGCGAAAGCCUGACGGAGCAACGCCGCGUGAGUGAUGAAGGUCUUCGGAUCGUAAAACUCUGUUAUUAGGGAAGAACAAAUGUGUAAGUAACUAUGCACGUCUUGACGGUACCUAAUCAGAAAGCCACGGCUAACUACGUG
rnacentral:rRNA from 1 species